AAGGGGGGACCGUGAGCAGCGUAGGAUUGAGGAGUUGGAAGAGACCUUUAGAACAGCUGGUCAUUAUGCCGACCGGGUGCCUGCACUAAGUUCGGCAUCAAUAUGGUGACCUCCUGGGAGCGGGGAGCCACCAAGUUGCCUAAGGAUGGCUGAACUGGCCCAGGUCAGAAACGGAGCAGGUCAGAACUCCUGCACUGACCGGUAGUGGGACUGUGCCUGGGCGAUAUAGCACGAUCUUGGUUCUUAAAAGAAAAAGAACAGCAGCUCAUUCCU
ensembl:misc_RNA Metazoa_SRP Metazoan signal recognition particle RNA